rnacentral:rRNA from 1 species
GACGAACGCUGGCGGCGCGCUUAACACAUGCAAGUCGAGCGAAGCGGCGGAAGGGUGAGUAACACGUGAGUAACCUGACUUAGACAUUGGGAUAGCCUCGGGAAACCGGGACUAAUACCAAAUGGUCUAAGAUUGACUGGCGUCCCAUUAGCUAGUGGGUGAGGUAACGGCCCACCAAGGCGACGAUGGGUAGCCGGCCUGAGUGUGUGAACGGCCACAUUGGAACUGAGAAACGGUCCAAACUCUACGGGAGGCAGCAGUGGGGAAUAUUGCACAAUGGAGGGAACUAGGAUGCGGAGCAGCCGCGAGAACAAAGGAGGCUUUCGAGCCGUAAAGUUCUUUUAUAUGGGAAGCGGUACCAUAAGAAAAAGCCCCGGCUAACUACGUGCCAGCAGCCGCGGUAAUUC